CAAUAGCGUAUAUUAAAGUUGUUGCAGUUAAAAAGCUCGUAGUUGGAUUUGUGGCGUACGGUGUGUUCCGGGCACUUGUUGUCUGAGUAACCUGCUGUUGCCAUCCUUGGGUGGAACCUGUGUGGCAUUAGGUUGUCGUGCAGGGGAUGCCCAUCAUUUACUGUGAAAAAAUGAGAGUGUUCAAAGCAGGCUUAUGCCGUUGAAUAUAUUAGCAUGGAAUAAUGAGAUAGGACUUUUUUGCUAUUUUGUUGGUUUGCGCAAAGAGGUAAUGAUUAAUAGGGACAGUUGGGGGUAUUCGUAUUCCAUUGUCAGAGGUGAAAUUCUUGGAUUUUUGGAAGACGAACUACUGCGAAAGCAUUUACCAAGGAUGUUUUCAUUAA
rnacentral:rRNA from 1 species